AAUUGAAGUUUGGUUAUAUACAAAGAACAACUGUGGAAAAAACUGUAAAUCAUUACUUUGAGUUUUAUUUAAAAUAAUUAAAAAAUAAUUGAAUACUGAAAUGAAUCGCAUUUGGCUUAAAUGGCAAAAUUUUCUUAUGGUAAAACGAAUUACAAUGAUUUGUUAAAUAGAAGAAAAUUUACUGAGAUACAGACCAUCGUGUGACGCCUUAUCCAGACCGGCCGAGACCAGGAGAAACGAAAGAAGGACAACUUGGAGGAGACACACGGCGGACCCGGAAUCCAAGUCAUCAAAGGAGGGAACGGCGAAAAGAAGAUGACAAGAAUUUGAAACGAGAAAGGCUGGAACAAAAAUGUGAUAUCAUGGGAAAUAAAUACAAUUAAAUCAUAAUAAUAUAUAUAUUGGAAAAAAUCUGGAAAACAAAAAAAUAAAACCCACGAUGCUCAGAAGGGCUUAUUUUCUUGAAGACCAUGUAAUCGUGAAUCGAGUCGUCCCAAGUAUUUAGUGUUCUGUGUUUUUUGUUUAUUUUUUUUUGUAUAUUUAAUAUUUUUAAUUUGUUUUUUGAUUUAUAAGUAAAAUAAAUAUUGUUUAAUUAUAUUUCAUAAA
ensembl:ncRNA asRNA:CR45139 antisense RNA:CR45139